rnacentral:rRNA from 1 species
UACGAAGGGGGCUAGCGUUGUUCGGAAUCACUGGGCGUAAAGGGCGCGUAGGCGGCCGUUCAAGUCGGGGGUGAAGGCCUGUGGCUCAACCACAGAAUUGCCUUCGAUACUGGACGGCUCGAGACCGGAAGAGGUCAGUGGAACUGCGAGUGUAGAGGUGAAAUUCGUAGAUAUUCGCAAGAACACCAGUGGCGAAGGCGGCUCACUGGCCCGAUACUGACGCUGAGGCACGAAAGCGUGGGGAGCAAACAGG